GAUGAACGCUGGCGGCGUGCCUAAUACAUGCAAGUCGAGCGAACGGACGAGAAGCUUGCCUCUCUGAUGUUAGCGGCGGGCGGGUGAGUAACACGUGGAUAACCUACCUAUAAGACUGGGAUAACUUCGGGAAACCGGAGCUAAUACCGGAUAAUAUUUUGAACCGCAUGGUUCAAAAGUGAAAGACGGUCUUGCUGUCACUUAUAGAUGGAUCCGCGCUGCAUUAGCUAGUUGGUAAGGUAACGGCUUACCAAGGCAACGAUGCAUAGCCGACCUGAGAGGGUGAUCGGCCACACUGGAACUGAGACACGGUCCAGACUCCUACGGGAGGCAGCAGUAGGGAAUCUUCCGCAAUGGGCGAAAGCCUGACGGAGCAACGCCGCGUGAGUGAUGAAGGUCUUCGGAUCGUAAAACUCUGUUAUUAGGGAAGAACAUAUGUGUAAGUAACUGUGCACAUCUUGACGGUACCUAAUCAGAAAGCCACGGCUAACUACGUG
rnacentral:rRNA from 1 species